rnacentral:tRNA from 1 species
GGACCCGUGGUCCAGUGGUAAGACGUCACCUUCACACGGUGAAGACAGGAGUCCGAUUCUCCUCGGGUCCA